UGUUUAACAGCCUAACAGCCGGCUGUUUAACGGCCGGCUGUUAGGCUGUUAAACA
rnacentral:miRNA from 1 species